rnacentral:rRNA from 1 species
CAGUCGCCGCGGUAAUACGUAGGGUGCGAGCGUUAAUCGGAAUUACUGGGCGUAAAGCGUGCGCAGGCGGUUGUGUAAGACAGGUGUGAAAUCCCCGGGCUUAACCUGGGAACUGCGCUUGUGACUGCACAGCUAGAGUAUGGCAGAGGGGGUGGAAUUCCACGUGUAGCAGUGAAAUGCGUAGAGAUGUGGAGGAACACCGAUGGCGAAGGCAGCCCCCUGGGCCAAUACUGACGCUCAUGCACGAAGGCGUGGGGAGCAAACAGGAUUAGAUACCCCUGUAGUCCCUGUCUCUUAUACA